UAAAGCCCCUAAUAAAAAUACUAGUGUUUUAUACGUUCCAUGUCAGUAAACUAGUUAAUGUUAUAUAACAGGACAACACUGUAUUUUAAACUAUAUUUAAUAAAAGCAUUGUGUAAUUU